rnacentral:rRNA from 1 species
CCAGCUUGCUGGGGUGGAUGAGUGGCGAACGGGUGCCCUAACACGUGAGUAACCUUCCCUUGACUCUGGGAUAAGCCCGGGAAACUGGGUCUAAUACCGGAUACGACCUCCUGCCGCAUGGUAUGGGGGUGGAAAGAUUUAUCGGUCUUGGAUGGACUCGCGGCCUAUCAGCUUGUUGGUGAGGUAAUGGCUCACCAAGGCGACGACGGGUAGCCGGCCUGAGAGGGUGACCGGCCACACUGGGACUGAGACACGGCCCAGACUCCUACGGGAGGCAGCAGUGGGGAAUAUUGCACAAUGGGCGCAAGCCUGAUGCAGCGACGCCGCGUGAGGGAUGACGGCCUUCGGGUUGUAAACCUCUUUCAGUAGGGAAGAAGCGAAAGUGACGGUACCUGCAGAAGAAGCGCCGGCUAACUACGUGCCAGCAGCCGCGGUAAUACGUAGGGCGCGAGCGUUAUCCGGAAUUAUUGGGCGUAAAGAGCUCGUAGGCGGUUUGUCGCGUCUGCCGUGAAAGUCCGGGGCUUAACCCCGGAUCUGCGGUGGGUACGGGCAGACUAGAGUGCAGUAGGGGAGACUGGAAUUCCUGGUGUAGCGGUGAAAUGCGCAGAUAUCA